CAGUCGCCGCGGUAAUACGUAGGGUGCAAGCGUUGUCCGGCAUCAUUGGGCGUAAAGCGCGCGUAGGUGGCCAUUUAAGUCCGCUGUGAAAGUCAAAGGCUCAACCUUUGAAAGCCGGUGGAUACUGGAUGGCUAGAGUACGGAAGAGGCGAGUGGAAUUCCUGGUGUAGCGGUGGAAUGCGCAGAUAUCAGGAGGAACACCAAUAGCGAAGGCAGCUCGCUGGGACGUUACCGACACUGAGGUGCGAAAGCGUGGGGAGCGAACAGGAUUAGAUACCCGCGUAGUCCCUGUCUCUUAUAC
rnacentral:rRNA from 1 species